UGACGUAACUGCCCUGCAGCUUCUAGUAGCUUUUCGCAGCGUCUCCGACCGCCGGGCGCGGUGGCGCGUGCCUGUAGUCCCAGCUACUCGGGAGGCUGAGGUGGGAGGAUCGCUUGAGCCCAGGAGUUCUGGGCUGUAGUGCGCUAUGCCGAUCGGGUGUCCGCACUAAGUUCGGCAUCAAUAUGGUGACCUCCCGGGAGCGGGGGACCACCAGGUUGCCUAAGGAGGGGGAGGCUGAGGUGGGAGGAUC
rnacentral:lncRNA from 1 species